ACAAGUACCGUGAGGGAAAGUUGCAAAGCACUUUGAAGAGAGAGUUAAAGAGGACGUGAAACCGGUGAGAUGGAAACGGAUAGAGCUAGUGUAUCUGGCUUGCAUUCAAUCGCCGGACUGUUGCGUUAUAGGUCGCUGCCUCCAGAUUGGGGUAGUUGCCAUGAGUCGUGGUGGUUUGGUGGUGCAUUUGCAAGUGGUGUGCGCCGAGACACUCGGGGUAGCGGCAUGAGUUUGGUUUUGAGGCCAGCUGCUUGCAGUUUGGUACCCGGGCCGGAGGAGUGUUGUUUGCCCUGGGUGUGCCCGAUUGGCAUGGCUUUCGGGCUCAGGUGGGUGCCGAGCUGGUUGUUGGUAACGGUCGCAUGCGACACGUGCCAGUGUCCAGUUCGGUC
rnacentral:rRNA from 1 species